GCUGGGUGAGGUAGCAUGCACCUGUAAUCCAAGCUACUUGGGAGGCUGAGUUGGGAGAAUUGCUUGAGCCCAGGGAGAUUGAGGCUGCAGUGAGCCUUGUUUGUACCACCGCACUCCAGCCUGGGCAACAAAGUGAGACCCUGUCUCAA
rfam:Homo sapiens chromosome 20, GRCh38 reference primary assembly.